rnacentral:lncRNA from 1 species
GGAUGCUGCCCUCUAAUAGUUUAUUUCCACAAAAAACAACUAAAACUAAAACUAGAUGCAAAUACUAACAGAAUUUGCUAUUUUACUAUAUUUUAAUCAAUACUCUCCUUAGUAAAGUCUAAAAAAAGAGAAAUAUCUUUAUUAUUUUAGUAUACAUAUAUUCUUUUAUAUUUCCUGAUCUGGGGCUUUAGCCUAUCAGCUAACUGGCGAUGCUAACUGAUUUCUGUUAUAUGUGGAUGCUGCUGUCUAAUAGUUUAUUUCUUCCUGAUAAAAAGCGUCCAAGUUUUUUCCUGAGCGUUAGUUGGUGUUGUAUUUUACUGUUUUUAUUUUUUAAGAUGGCAAACUAACAGCUGGAAUACAGCUGAACUCAGCAGUAAGGAUUGGAGGGUGUUAGCUUGGAUGCUAACUGUUUUCUGGGCUAAAUUAAUGGAUGAUAUUUGAUAUUAAAAUGAACCUGUGCUGGUUAGAUAUGCUCUCAGCAGCGACCAGCCCUGAGUCUUCAGCCCCUGUAUCUUUAAGCCACGCCCAUUUCCUCUCUGAUUGGCUGAAUAGACUUGAUCACCUCCCACGUCUACACAACCUGGUGCUAAUCGUACACAUAUUUAUUGGUGAUCUGUAGGAACUCCAGCUAUACGUAGCCUGAUGUACGUCUACUGUACCUACUGUACCUACGUGGUUCUACCUUAAAUUGUUGGUAUGAAGUAAACAUGGCCCACUAAUCUAGAGCUUUCUGAACAUGGCCUGGAUGUGCUGUAAUUCAGCCCAGCCCAUCUGCUGCCAUGGUUACCAGCGCAUUCGUUUAUUCCAUCGUUAACGCUAAUUGAUGUUUACAACACAAUGCCUGCUCGCUUCCUGAUGAGCACAGGAACCUAAACCCUCACCUGCUGGAAGCACAGUCCACAAAAACCCAACCUGCACCAGGUUUAUGGUCACUAAUUACGGUUCCUAAUUAAGCGUACGUGGUUUUUGUCGUGGAAACCGCCUGGACUUCACGUCCUGUAAAAGCACAGAAUCAAUAAGCCCACG